UGAGUCGUUCGGGUGGCCGCGGUGCAGAGAUGCAUCGAGGAAAGUCGGGACUCCAGAGAGCAUGGUGCUGGCGCGAGCCAGGUCGGGGCGACCUGACGGACAGUGCAACAGAGAGGAAACCGCCGAUGGACUGGCAACAGUCACAGGCAAGGCUGAAACGGUGCGGUAAGAGCGCACCAGCGCGUGGGGCGACUCACGCGGCUCGGUAAACCCCACUAGGAGCAAGGUCAAGCAGAAGGAUUGGGCUGCUCGCCCGCCGCAAGGCAACCUUCGGGUAGACCGCACAGAUGGAUGGUCACCGCACACGGAAGUGUGCACAGAAUCCCGCUUACAGAGCGACUCACCGU
rnacentral:RNase_P_RNA from 1 species